AAACAAAUAUAAAUUUUGUAUUUUUAGCGUUGCUAUGUAUCAAGACUGAUACGAACAUAUGCACAGCCAAGGUUUUCGAAUAAGAAGUUUCGAAUUUCUAACAAGUACAGACGAUCUAACAUCUGAUUAACAUCGAUAAUCACUAGAAAACGUGAACUGUAAACCAAUCGAUAUUUGAUUAACAUCGACUGUUACUAAGAACGAAGUCAAUCUCGUCGAAUAUUGUUUUUAAGACUAAUAUUGCCAACAAAAUCUAAUAUUGUUACGACAAUAUUAAUGUAAAAUAUGAUGGCCUAUAUAUAUCACAGUAGCAUCAAGAAGAUGGUUUUUAUCGACAUGCGGAAUUUUGAUUAAAUACUGAAAGUUUUCAACUGUUUCACGAAUCUCCAAUUGACCAGAUCUAUUUAAAUCCCUUAUUUAUCUAAUUAAUCCUAUCUAAAUAAUUAUAAUUAAUCCAUUUAGUAUUCCUUAUCGUAUAUAUGCUACUUAUAUACGAUAUAAGUAGAAAAAUCAAAGAAAUACUAAAUUUUUAUGGAAAUAUUGCCGAUCUUUGAGCAGUUAUAACUUCUUGAAAAGUAGGCUCCUUUUGAAAAUUAAAGUCUGCUUUGUACGUAAUAGAACCUUCCUGAGUUCAUUUUAUAUUAAAAAAUGGGGAAGAAAGGAACAUGGAAUAAUCAAGCGUUUAUGAUAUUGCCGAUCGGGCCCGAAGAGGGGUCUAGACCAAAAAAACUUGAAGAGCCGACAACGUCAUGAACCAUUCGGCAAAAGAAGCAAAUUGUUACCCUUCACUCCCUCGUUGAGUAAUUAAUAGCGGGGCAAAGGGGAGAUUACGGGUCUUCUUGGGGAUCUACGCAGUUUAUGACUAGAUACUAAAGGUCAGUCGUCAAAAACAGUUAUUUUUCGCUUUACGAAAAUCAAAGGUCAUGGUCUAACCAACGGACACAACAUAAUGAUCGAUAUUCUGUAUCAUAUCCACAAGGGGCAAUCCCUUAUUAACCAUGCAUUCAAAAGCUAAUACAGUCCACAUUGUGAUAAACCUCCUGGUUUAUACCUACUUUCGAAUAUUUGGACGCGUACAGAGUUUGCUCAAAAAUGUGACUAGAUGUUGCGAUUAUUUUGAAUAUUACAAAAGCAGUCAAACACUCAUUUAACACAUUUUAUUUUAAAAUUCUGUAUUGUCUUGGGAUAUAAUGUAAAUUUAUUCCCUUGUUUCGUUAAAUCAAUCCUCAACCAAUCGGUGAGAAUAAGGUGGUAAGAAAAAAAUUCAAUGAUAGAAAUGCUAAAAAUCGGUUCAUGUGACCGAAGUCGCGCAAUAUGAAAAUUGAACGUGGGUACGGCGAAAUAAACCCUACAUUGGAUAUUUGAAUAAAUAAAUAUGCAUCAUCGAGAAGAAUGAGCGAGACAGAUCGAUCGAUUUUCACGAUGUGAAACGUGUGAAAUACGCUUCCACCUUGAAAGACGAUGAAAGUUAAUAAAUACAGACGGAAGUGAGAAAAAUUAUUAGAUCGAAAAACAGCUGGAUUAGGGACGAAGAAACUUGGUCGAUGUUUGAAGCACUUCUGCAGACAAUUUAUUUAUCCAAUAGGAACGAUGAAACUUUUUCAAGCUUCAAGCUUUGUGAAAAAUAACUCUGUCGAUAGCGUCGUAUUGAAACAAUGGGAUACGUCCAGUAGAUAGACGAUCCGUGGAAAUAAAAAGUAACCGUAAGCCUGGGGAAUGGACGCUUCAUACUACUUUAGUGAUUUUCAUUAUUCGAACGAUUUAGUCAAGUAAUAAGUAGGUACUUCCGUUAAAGAGGUGUUAAGUUCAGCUUCAUGGAUUUUUCAAUGCAAGAUUGAAGAAACGCUGUUGAGUGCCGAAGCGUGCACUCUCAUCAUGAAUAAAUUAAUACGCCCCGACGCAAAAUAAAACCAAGACGCAUAGCUCUUUGGAAUGCCAACGGUCUAGCUCAACACAAAUACGAACUAGAACUCUUCUUAAAAUAACAGCAAAUCGACGUAAUGCUCAUAUCUGAAACUCACUUUAUCGACAAAAAUUACUUGAAAAUAAACGGUUAUAACUUCUACCAUACCCAA
rnacentral:lncRNA from 1 species